AAAUUGAAGAGUUUGAUCAUGGCUCAGAUUGAACGCUGGCGGCAGGCCUAACACAUGCAAGUCGAACGGUAGCACAGAGAGCUUGCUCUCGGGUGACGAGUGGCGGACGGGUGAGUAAUGUCUGGGAAACUGCCUGAUGGAGGGGGAUAACUACUGGAAACGGUGGCUAAUACCGCAUAACGUCGCAAGACCAAAGAGGGGGACCUUCGGGCCUCUUGCCAUCAGAUGUGCCCAGAUGGGAUUAGCUUGUUGGUGAGGUAACGGCUCACCAAGGCGACGAUCCCUAGCUGGUCUGAGAGGAUGACCAGCCACACUGGAACUGAGACACGGUCCAGACUCCUACGGGAGGCAGCAGUGGGGAAUAUUGCACAAUGGGCGCAAGCCUGAUGCAGCCAUGCCGCGUGUAUGAAGAAGGCCUUCGGGUUGUAAAGUACUUUCAGCGGGGAGGAAGGUGUUGUGGUUAAUAACCGCAGCAAUUGACGUUACCCGCAGAAGAAGCACCGGCUAACUCCGUGCCAGCAGCCGCGGUAAUACGGAGGGUGCAAGCGUUAAUCGGAAUUACUGGGCGUAAAGCGCACGCAGGCGGUCUGUCAAGUCGGAUGUGAAAUCCCCGGGCUCAACCUGGGAACUGCAUUCGAAACUGGCAGGCUUGAGUCUUGUAGAGGGGGGUAGAAUUCCAGGUGUAGCGGUGAAAUGCGUAGAGAUCUGGAGGAAUACCGGUGGCGAAGGCGGCCCCCUGGACAAAGACUGACGCUCAGGUGCGAAAGCGUGGGGAGCAAACAGGAUUAGAUACCCUGGUAGUCCACGCCGUAAACGAUGUCUACUUGGAGGUUGUGCCCUUGAGGCGUGGCUUCCGGAGCUAACGCGUUAAGUAGACCGCCUGGGGAGUACGGCCGCAAGGUUAAAACUCAAAUGAAUUGACGGGGGCCCGCACAAGCGGUGGAGCAUGUGGUUUAAUUCGAUGCAACGCGAAGAACCUUACCUGGUCUUGACAUCCACAGAAGAAUCCAGAGAUGGAUUUGUGCCUUCGGGAACUGUGAGACAGGUGCUGCAUGGCUGUCGUCAGCUCGUGUUGUGAAAUGUUGGGUUAAGUCCCGCAACGAGCGCAACCCUUAUCCUUUGUUGCCAGCGGUCCGGCCGGGAACUCAAAGGAGACUGCCAGUGAUAAACUGGAGGAAGGUGGGGAUGACGUCAAGUCAUCAUGGCCCUUACGACCAGGGCUACACACGUGCUACAAUGGCGCAUACAAAGAGAAGCGACCUCGCGAGAGCAAGCGGACCUCAUAAAGUGCGUCGUAGUCCGGAUUGGAGUCUGCAACUCGACUCCAUGAAGUCGGAAUCGCUAGUAAUCGUGGAUCAGAAUGCCACGGUGAAUACGUUCCCGGGCCUUGUACACACCGCCCGUCACACCAUGGGAGUGGGUUGCAAAAGAAGUAGGUAGCUUAACCUUCGGGAGGGCGCUUACCACUUUGUGAUUCAUGACUGGGGUGAAGUCGUAACAAGGUAACCGUAGGGGAACCUGCGGUUGGAUCACCUCCUUA
rnacentral:rRNA from 2 species